rnacentral:lncRNA from 1 species
CUAGUCUCUAUGGGUCGCCCCACCCCUUGUCAUUUGAGAAUGAUCUUAUAUCUUGAAAAUUGUCGAGAUCCCCACCUGUAAACAGCCAUAUAUAUUCCUUUUUAUAAUGUCAAAUUGAUUUGAAUGAAAUAUACCGGGCUAGUCUCUGGGUUUACCCCCUCCCCUGCCAUUUGCGAAUGUUCUUAUAUUUUGUAAACGGUCGAGAUCCCCACCCCUAAACUAUAUAUAUUUCUUGUAUGGGAAAAUAAAACAAACCCA